rnacentral:rRNA from 1 species
GAUGAACGCUAGCGGCAGGCCUAACACAUGCAAGUCGAGGGGCAUCGCGGUGCAGCAAUGCACUGGCGGCGACCGGCGUACGGGUGCGUAACGCGUAUGCAACCUGCCCCGCACCGGGGGAUAGCCCGCCGAAAGGCGGAUUAAUACCCCAUGGUCCCGGGGGCCCGCAUGGGCAUCCGGGUAAAGCCUUGGCGGUGCGGGAUGGGCAUGCGUGCCAUUAGCUGGCUGGUGGGGUAACGGCCCACCUAGGGCAACGAUGGCUAGGGGGUCUGAGAGGAUGGUCCCCCACACUGGUACUGAGACACGGACCAGACUCCUACGGGAGGCAGCAGUGAGGAAUAUUGGUCAAUGGGCGGAAGCCUGAACCAGCCAUGCCGCGUGCGGGAUGAAGGCCCUACGGGUUGUAAACCGCUUUUCCCCGGGAAGAAUAACCCCGAUGAGUCGGGUGAUGCCGGUACCGGGGGAAUAAGGAUCGGCUAACUCCGUG